GGAAAGUAGAACAGAGUAUCCAAUACUCCAGCGAUUGAUUGCCUUUACUACAUGUUGGGACUAGCAGUGUGCCUGAGGUAGGUGAGUGAAGCCUGAUGCAGCACUUCUGGGAUUUCACUCUUCGUUUCUCCCACUGCUGAGCAAAGCGGAUCAAGGCAUUUUCUCUCUCCAAACGCCCACAUCCACUGUUGCACAACUAUUUUCACUAUUCACCUACAUUCAAGGGGUGAGAUCAGAUCCAGAAUGUGUACAGACUAGUCCACAGCUCAUACAGUACUAUCCUCUUCGAAUGUGCGAAUAUAAUUGGAUUUGUCCAUCAGUUCUUUAUAAAAACAGUUGCACUUCUGUUGGGGUGUAAUGUGGCCUACGAGUAACUCGUCUUGGCUGGUGGCUGGCAUGAACAACACUGGGGUAUCCAUGGAGACGCUCAUUUGGUGUGCACACAUCUGUCCCCGGCCUGUCUUUGUUCUCUGAAUAUGUCUCGCAUUGAAACCUCAAAAUCUCACAAGCCUGAUGGUUACUACGCGCUGUCCUUUUACAUAUACAACGACCGACCAGUUACUCGGACAGUCUUCACCGCGGAGGAUAAAUGGACCCUCUGUUGCUCUAUGUAGGACACUUGAACUGCGAGGAUGACACUUGAAUGUCUGAUUGACACCAACGACAUGGAGGAACGUCAAUUGAGGAGCGGUAACGACGACGAUGCAACAGAUUCGUAGAAGCACGAUAUUCCUCAUCCAUGGCCUUAUUUAAGAUAAGUGUUUUAUUUUUUUCGGUUCCAGGAAUGAUUCGUAGCAACAGCGCUGUUUUGUGCUAGCCUAAAAACUACAAGCUUCUACUCGUCAAAAACUAUCUGUAUAAUCUGAAAAAACAGAUAUUGUGUAUUUUUUCAGUGAUUAGCAUUUGCUGAUUCGGCCUUUUUUUUGUCAACCACUUUACAUUGUUAACAAAUCUAUGUGAACACAGUUUAAUAGCGCGUCCUAUUUUUUCUUCUCUGUAUGAGCGUUAUUGAGAUUCGGGGCAUUUUUAUCGGAGAUUAUU